GACGAACGCUGGCGGCGUGCUUAACACAUGCAAGUCGAACGGAAAGGCCCUGCUUUUGUGUGGUGCUCGAGUGGCGAACGGGUGAGUAACACGUGAGUAACCUGCCCUUGACUUUGGGAUAACUUCAGGAAACUGGGGCUAAUACCGGAUAGGAGCUCCUGCUGCAUGGUGGGGGUUGGAAAGUUUCGGCGGUUGGGGAUGGACUCGCGGCUUAUCAGCUUGUUGGUGGGGUAGUGGCUUACCAAGGCUUUGACGGGUAGCCGGCCUGAGAGGGUGACCGGCCACAUUGGGACUGAGAUACGGCCCAGACGCAUACGGGAGGCAGCAGUGGGGAAUAUUGCACAAUGGGCGGAAGCCAGAUGCAGCAACGCCGCGUGGGGGAUGACGGCCUUCGGGUUGUAAACCGCUUUCGCCUGUGACGAAGCGUGAGUGACGGUAAUGGGGAAAGAAGCACCGGCUAACUACGU
rnacentral:rRNA from 1 species